GUGCUCAUUUCGGCAGCACAUAGACUAACACUGGAAUGAUACAGAGAAGUUAGCAUGGCCCCUGAGUAAGGAUGGCAUGCAAAUUCAUGAAGCAUUAAAGAAAGAA